GGAAUAGCCCGUUGAAAGACGGAUUAAUGCCUGAUGUUCUCUAUUUCCGGCAUCGGUAAUAGAGCAAAGAUUCGAUCGGUGACAGAUGGGGAUGCGUCUGAUUAGCUUGUUGGCGGGGUAACGCCCACCAAGGCAACGAUCAGUAGGGGUUCUGAGAGGAAGGUCCCCCACAUUGGAACUGAGACACGGUCCAAACUCCUACGGGAGGCAGCAGUGAGGAAUAUUGGUCAAUGGACGCAAGUCUGAACCAGCCAAGUAGCGUGCAGGAUGACGGCCCUAUGGGUUGUAAACUGCUUUUAUGUGGGAAUAAAGUCAGGGACGUGUCCCUGUUUGCAUGUACCACAGGAAUAAGGACCGGCUAAUUCCGUG
rnacentral:rRNA from 1 species